UACGAAGGGGACUAGCGUUGUCCGGAAUCACUGGGCGUAAAGCGCACGUAGGCGGAUAUGUCAGUCAGGGGUGAAAUCCCGGGGCUCAACCUCGGAACUGCCUUUGAUACAGCAUGUCUUGAGUCCGAUAGAGGUGGGUGGAAUUCCUAGUGUAGAGGUGAAAUUCGUAGAUAUUAGGAAGAACACCGGUGGCGAAGGCGGCCCACUGGAUCGGUACUGACGCUGAGGUGCGAAAGCGUGGGGAGCAAACAGG
rnacentral:rRNA from 1 species